ACUCCUACGGGAGGCAGCAGUGGGGAAUAUUGCACAAUGGGCGCAAGCCUGAUGCAGCCAUGCCGCGUGUAUGAAGAAGGCCUUCGGGUUGUAAAGUACUUUCAGCAGUGAGGAAGGUGGGAUAGUCAGUUAAGUACGACGUAUUUCAUUUUGACGUUUAGCUGCAGAAGAAGCACCGGCUAACUCCGUGCCAGCAGCCGCGGUAAUACGGAGGGUGCGAGCGUUAAUCGGAAUUACUGGGCGUAAAGCGCAUGCAGGUGGUUUGUUAAGUCAGAUGUGAAAGCCC
rnacentral:rRNA from 1 species